rnacentral:rRNA from 1 species
GUCCUUGCCGUAAACGAUGUAUACUUGAUGUAAUUGGGCUCAACCCUGAUUGUGUCGUAGCUAACGCGAUAAGUAUACCGCCUGAGGAGUACGCUCGCAAGGUGAACUCAAAGAAUUGACGGGGCCCGCACAAGCAGUGGAGCAUGUGGUUUAAUUCGAUGCAACGCGAAGAACCUUACCCAGGCUCGAAAUGUAGAGGACAACACCAGAAAUGGUGCUUUCCGUAAGGACUUCUAUAUAGGUGCUGCAUGGCUGUCGU